GGAAUUUAGCUCAGCGGUAGAGCGCUUGCCUAGCGAGCACAAGGCCCUGGGUUCAUUUCCCAGCUCCG
rnacentral:tRNA from 1 species